rnacentral:lncRNA from 1 species
GGUGCAAAUCUCAAGAGCUCCCUCUGAUGACUGGCAGGCACCUGAGCAAGGCGCAGGCUGCUAGCAAAGCAGGGGUGCAGCAGAAGGCAGCGUCCGCCAUGGGUGACAGGCCGCCGGCCAUUCACGGUCCCACUCACACUCAACGAGCUCCUCAGCAGGUACACAGAUGAACACCGUGCCGUGACAGACAACAGCUGGUCGAGCCUCACCCUAAAGCCCAAAUUCAAGCACGCUGGACACCAGUGUUUGCAGUAUUAACAUCAAAAAGAAAAGACUGAUUACUGGCGAACCACCAAGCGGGCGUAUAGGGAGGCAAACCAUGCGAAAGCUGUUUUUUCAGCGCCAUCCACAGCAUGCGUCUCAGCAUUUUGCCGCAUGGCAAGAUAGAACAUGAGGGGGUCCAUGAAGGGAAGCA